UGCUGUUCUUUUCAAAUUAAAGUUCAGAGCAGAAAACUCCUGUCUGGACUCUUUUGUGCCAUGUGGAAAUAUUACAGAAACGGAGUUGUGCCGAAAAGAAAUAAGCAGAAAUCGGACAAUGAAGUUGUCAACCUUCCUCCCAUUUCCAACGGGAUUGCUGCAAAGCUGGCACCGGAUCAACAAAGCAACAUCCAAAGCACAGCACAGAGGCUGC